GAUGAACGCUGGCGGCGUGCCUAAUACAUGCAAGUCGAGCGAACAGACGAGGAGCUUGCUCCUCUGACGUUAGCGGCGGACGGGUGAGUAACACGUGGAUAACCUACCUAUAAGACUGGGAUAACUUCGGGAAACCGGAGCUAAUACCGGAUAACAUGUUGAACCGCAUGGUUCAACAGUGAAAGACGGUCUUGCUGUCACUUAUAGACGGAUCCGCGCCGCAUUAGCUAGUUGGUAAGGUAACGGCUUACCAAGGCAACGAUGCGUAGCCGACCUGAGAGGGUGAUCAGCCACACUGGAACUGAGACACGGUCCAGACUCCUACGGGAGGCAGCAGUAGGGAAUCUUCCGCAAUGGGCGAAAGCCUGACGGAGCAACGCCGCGUGAGUGAAGAAGGUCUUCGGAUCGUAAAACUCUGUUAUUAGGGAAGAACAAAUGUGUAAGUAACUAUGCACGUCUUGACGGUACCUAAUCAGAAAGCCACGGCUAACUACGUG
rnacentral:rRNA from 1 species